GACGAACGCUGGCGGCGUGCCUAAUACAUGCAAGUAGAACGCUGAAGGAGGAGCUUGCUUCUCUGGAUGAGUUGCGAACGGGUGAGUAACGCGUAGGUAACCUGCCUGGUAGCGGGGGAUAACUAUUGGAAACGAUAGCUAAUACCGCAUAAGAGUAGAUGUCGCAUGACAUUUGCUUAAAAGGUGCACUUGCAUCACUACCAGAUGGACCUGCGUUGUAUUAGCUAGUUGGUGAGGUAACGGCUCACCAAGGCAACGAUACAUAGCCGGCCUGAGAGGGGGAUCGGCCACACUGGGACUGAGACACGGCCCAGACUCCUACGGGAGGCAGCAGGAGGGAAACUUCGGCAAUGGACGGAAGUCUGACCGAGCAACGCCGCGGGAGUGAAGAAGGUUUUCGGAUCGGAAAGCUCUGUUGUAAGAGAAGAACGAGUGUGAGAGUGGAAAGUUCACAAUGUGACGGUAUCUUACCAGAAAGGGACGGCUAACUACGUG
rnacentral:rRNA from 1 species